UUGGACACACACACCCUACUGGCAUACGGCUCAGGAGGGCUUAGUAGGAGGUACAUUGGACACACGCCCCCUACUGGCAUACGGCUCAGGAGGGCUCAGUAGGAGGUACAUUGGACACAUGCCCCCUACUGGCAUACGGCUCAGGAGGGCUCAGUAGGAGGUACAUUGGACACACACACCCUACUGACAUACGGCUCAGGAGGGCUUAGUAGGAGGUACAUUGGACUCUUGACCCCUACUGACAUACGGCUCAGGAGGGCUUAGUAGGAGGUACAUUGGACACAUGCCCCCUACUGGCAUCUGGCUCAGGAGGGCUCAGUAGGAGGUACAUUGGACACACGCCCCCUACUGGCAUACGGCUCAGGAGGGCUCAGGGGGGCUCAGUAGGAGGUACAUUGGACACACAUCUCUAUUGGCUGGUUUGUUUGUUGUUUAACCUACAGAAGACACGCUACUACUUUUUUAAUUAAAAUAGGGCAUGCUAAAAGAGCUAAUGUUUCUAAACUGUGAACAACAUUAACAUUCAAAUUCAUGCUUAUGUUGUUGUUUCUUAAUGAGAGAGAAAAUAUAUAAAAAAUAUAACAAUAUAUAAAAACAAACAUAAAUAGUUCAGUUAAGAGAAACAAAGUUAAGACAGGUAGAGCUCACAUCAGAACAAGUCAAUGUUAACAGAUACAUUAAAUAUGAAUAUUGAAUAAAUGGCUAAGUGAUUAGAUAACCAAAGACUGUUUUCCUCACAAUUUCAAUGAAAUAUAUUUGUGUACACAUUCAAACCAAAUAUAGCAGGAGGGAGAUAACUCAUU